rnacentral:rRNA from 1 species
CCUACGGGUGGCAGCAGUGAGGAAUAUUGGUCAAUGGGCGCGAGCCUGAACCAGCCAAGUAGCGUGAAGGAUGACUGCCCUACGGGUUGUAAACCUCUUUUAUAAAGGAAUAAAGUGAGGCACGUGUGCCCUUUUGUAUGUACUUUAUGAAUAAGGCUCGGCUAACUCCGUGCCAGCAGCCGCGGUAAUACGGAGGAUCCGAGCGUUAUCCGGAUUUAUUGGGUUUAAAGGGAGCGUAGAUGGGUUUUUAAGUCAGUUGUGAAAGUUUGUGGCUCAACCGUAAAAUUGCAAUUGACACUGGCAGGCUUGAGUAUAGUUGAGGUAGGCGGAAUGCGUGGUGUAGCGGUGAAAUGCUUAGAUAUCACGAAGAACUCCGAUUGCGAAGGCAGCUUACUAAACUGCCACUGACGUUGAUGCACGAAAGUGUGGGUAUCAAACAGGAUUAGAUACCCGAGUAGUC